AUUGAAUGCUGGCGGCAGGCCUAACACAUGCAAGUCGAGCGUGAAAGUCCUUCGGGAUGAGUAAAGCGGCGGACGGGUGAGUAACGCGUAGGAAUCUACCUAAUAGUGGGGGAUAACGUUUCGAAGGAACGCUAAUACCGCAUACGUUCUGAGGAAGAAAGCAGGGGAUCGUAAGACCUUGCGCUAUUAGAUGAGCCUGCGUCCGAUUAGCUAGUUGGUGGGUAAAGGCCUACCAAGGCGACGAUCGGUAACUGGUCUGAGAGGAUGAUCAGUCACACUGGAACUGAGACACGGUCCAGACUCCUACGGGAGGCAGCAGUGGGGAAUAUUGGACAAUGGGGGCAACCCUGAUCCAGCCGAUGCCGCGUGUGUG
rnacentral:rRNA from 1 species